rnacentral:rRNA from 1 species
AUGAUGGCGCCGCGACGGAGCGCCGCGGAGACAGCGGACGCGGACCGAGCGCGGCUGCACCAGCUGGGGUACAAGCAGGAGCUGAAGCGCGGGCUCAGCGCGGUCUCCAACUUCGCCUUCUCCUUCUCCAUCAUCUCCGUGCUCAUGGGCGUGACGGCCACGUACAACACGGGGCUGCGCUACGGCGGGCCGGCGUCCAUGACGCUCGGGUGGCUGGUGGUGACGGUGUUCAACGGCUGCGUCGCGCUGUCCAUGGCGGAGAUCUGCUCGGCCUACCCGACCUCUGGCGGGCUCUACUACUGGAGCGCCAAGCUCGCCGGCAAGGAGUGGGCGCCUCUCGCCUCCUGGGUCACCGGCUGGUUCAACAUCGUGGGACAGUGGGCGGGCACAACGAGCGUGGACUUCUCGCUGGCGCAGCUCAUCCAGGUGAUCAUCCUGCUCGGCACCGGCGGGGCCAACGGCGGCGGCUACCUGGCGUCCAAGUACGUGGUGCUGGCCAUCUACGGCCUCAUCCUCGUCCUGCAUGGCCUCAUCAACAGCCUCCCCAUCCGCUGGCUCUCCUGGUUCGGCAAGCUUGGCGCAUUCUGGAACGUCGCCGGUAUCUUGGUGUUGGUGAUCCUGAUCCCGGCAGUUGCCAAGGAGAGGGCGAGCGUCGAGUUCAUCUUUACGCACUUCAACACGGACAACGGCAUGGGGAUCCACAACAAGGCUUACAUUCUUGCAGUGGGGUUGUUGAUGAGCCAGUACUCCGUUCUCGGUUACGACGCAUCUGCACACAUGACCGAAGAAACCAAGGGCGCAGACAGAAGCGGGCCGAUCGGGAUCAUCAGCGCGGUGGCUCUCUCGUCCAUCUUCGGGUGGAUCUACCUGGUGGCCCUAACGUCAGUGGUGACGGACAUACCGUACUUGCUGAGCCCCGACAACGAUGCCGGCGGGAAUGCCAUCGCCCAGGCUCUCUACACCACCUUCCAUGAGAGGUACAACACCGGUGUAGGAGCGGUGGCCUGCCUCGGGGUCAUCGCCGGUGCCAUGUUCCUCUGCGGCAUCGGGUCCAUCACCAGCAAUUCGAGGAUGGGUUACGCCUUCUCCCGGGACGGGGCGAUGCCGUACUCGAAUGUGUGGCACAGGGUGAGCAGGCACGAGGUGCCGUUGAACAUGGUGUGGCUUUCCGUCGCCGUGGCAUUUGCCAUGGCCCUCACGUCAUUGGGGAGCCAGGUGGCGUUCCAGGCGAUGGCGUCGAUCGCGACGAUAGGGUUGUACAUCUCCUACGCGCUGCCCAUCUUUUUUCGGGUGACGACGGCCCGGAAGUCGUUCAUACCGGGGCCAUUUCACCUCGGCCAGUACGGGAUCGCCGUCGGAUGGACCGCCGUGCUUUGGGUGGCCUUCGUCACCGUGCUCUUCUCUUUGCCGGUGGCGUACCCGGUGGCCAAGGAUGACUUCAACUACACACCGGUGGCCGUCGGGGGCGUGUUGCUGCUCAGCAUCGGGGCAUGGGUGCUUCACGCGCGUUUCUGGUUCCAAGGGCCCAUCAUAAACGUUGACACGGUCUAG